rnacentral:rRNA from 1 species
CCUACGGGUGGCUGCAGUAGGGAAUCUUUCACCAUGGGCGAAAGCCUGAUCGAGCAACGCCGCGUGCAGGAUUAAGGCCUUCGGGGUUUAAACUUCUUUUAUAAGCGGGAAAUAUGAUGGUAACUUAUGAAUAAGGAUCGGCUAACUACGUGCCAGCAGCCGCGGUCAUACUUAGGAUCCGAGCAUUAUCAGGAGUGACUGGUGGUAAAUAGUUGCGUAGGUGGCAUAAUAAGUAGCUAGGGAAAUCUGGUGGCUCAAACAUGCAGACUAUUAGCUAAACUGUUAAGCUCGAGACCGUUAGGGGUAAGUGGAAUGUCUAGUGUAGGAGUGAAAUGCGUAGAUAUGACAAGGAACACCAAUAGCGUAGGCAGGUUGCUGGGACGGUUCUGACACUAAGGCACGAAAGCGUAGGGAGCAAACGGGAUUAGAUACCCUAGUAGUC